UACAGAGGUCCCGAGCGUUGUUCGGAUUUAUUGGGCGUAAAGGGCUCGUAGGUGGCCAACUAAGUCAGACGUGAAAUCCCUCGGCUUAACCGGGGAACUGCGUCUGAUACUGGAUGGCUUGAGUGCAGGAGAGGAACGCGGAAUUCCAGGUGUAGCGGUGAAAUGCGUAGAUAUCUGAAGGAACAUCAGUGGCGAAAGCGACUUCCUGGACCAAUACUGACGCUCAUGUGCGAAAGCGUGGGGAGCAAACAGG
rnacentral:rRNA from 1 species